GUAGGUGGCAAGCGUUGUCCGGGAAUUAUUGGGCGUAAAGCGCGCGCAGGCGGUUUCUUUAAGUCUGAUGUGAAAGCCCACGGGCUCAACCGUGGAGGGUCAUUGGAAACUGGAGAACUUGAGUACAGAAGAGGAAAGCGGAAUUCCACGUGUAGCGGUGAAAUGCGUAGAGAUGUGGAGGAACACCAGUGGCGAAGGCGGCUUUCUGGUCUGUAACUGACGCUGAGGCGCGAAAGCGUGGGGAGCAAACAGGAUUAGAUACCCUGGUAGUCCACGCCGUAAACGAUGAGUGCUAAGUGUUAGGGGGUUUCCGCCCCUUAGUGCUGCAGCUAACGCAUUAAGCACUCCGCCUGGGGAGUACGGCCGCAAAGGCUG
rnacentral:rRNA from 1 species